rnacentral:rRNA from 1 species
UUGCUCUUCAACGAGGAAUGCCUAGUAGGCACGAGUCAUCAGCUCGUGCCGAUUACGUCCCUGCCCUUUGUACACACCGCCCGUCGCUACUACCGAUUGAAUGGCUCAGUGAGGCCUUGGGAUUGGCUUAGGAGGGUUGGCAACGACCCCCCAGAGCCGAAAACUUGGUCAAACUCGGUCAUUUAGAGGAAGUAAAAGUCGUAACAAGGUUUCCGUAGGUGAACCUGCGGAAGGAUCAUUACCGAGUGAGGGCCCUCUGGGUCCAACCUCCCACCCGUGUUUAUUUUACCUUAUUGCUUCGGCGGGCCCGCCUUAACUGGCCGCCGGGGGGCUUACGCCCCCGGGCCCGCGCCCGCCGAAGACACCCUCGAACUCUGUCUGAAGAUUGUAGUCUGAGUGAAAAUAUAAAUUAUUUAAAACUUUCAACAACGGAUCUCUUGGUUCCGGCAUCGAUGAAGAACGCAGCGAAAUGCGAUACGUAAUGUGAAUUGCAAAUUCAGUGAAUCAUCGAGUCUUUGAACGCACAUUGCGCCCCCUGGUAUUCCGGGGGGCAUGCCUGUCCGAGCGUCAUUGCUGCCCUCAAGCACGGCUUGUGUGUUGGGCCCCGUCCUCCGAUCCCGGGGGACGGGCCCGAAAGGCAGCGGCGGCACCGCGUCCGGUCCUCGAGCGUAUGGGGCUUUGUCACCCGCUCUGUAGGCCCGGCCGGCGCUUGCCGAUCAACCCAAAUUUUUAUCCAGGUUGACCUCGGAUCAGGUAGGGAUACCCGCUGAACUUAAGCAUAUCAAUAAGCGGAGGA